rnacentral:rRNA from 1 species
GACGAACGCUGGCGGCGUGCUUAACACAUGCAAGUCGAACGGUAAGGCCCUUCGGGGUACACGAGUGGCGAACGGGUGAGUAACACGUGGGUGAUCUGCCCUGCACUUCGGGAUAAGCCUGGGAAACUGGGUCUAAUACCGGAUAGGACCACUGCCUGCAUGGGUGGUGGUGGAAAGCUUUUGGGGUGUGGGAUGGGCCCGCGGCCUAUCAGCUUGUUGGUGGGGUGAUGGCCUACCAAGGCGACAACGGGUAGCCGGCCGGAGAGGGGGAGCGGCCACACUGGGACUGGGAUACGGCCCGGACUCCUGCGGGAGGCAGCCGUGGGGAGUAUUGAACAAUGGGCGCAAGCCUGAUGCAGCGACGCCGCGUGAGGGAUGACAGCCUUCGGGUUGUAAACCUCUUUCAGCACCGACUAAGCGCAAGUGACGGUAGGUGCAGAAGAAGGACCGGCCAACUACGUGCCAGCCGCCGCGGUAA